CGCCCCCAAUCCCCGUAACCUCUUCCUCCCACUUGUCUCUCCCGUCUCCCUGUUCUUCCGAUCUGAAUCACAUGCACGUCGUUCUCCAUCGAGCCGUAGAUGAUGCCACCUCCCCGCCGUUCUCAGCAGAGUCUUCGUUGACCUUCAACAACCGAGCACAAGGAGGACGUGAGGCUCACUAGCGGCAUGGCGAAGGUUGCUGUGGCAAGAUAUCUGGAGGGCGGUUCUUCAUCGCAAUGAGGAAUGACCCUCCACUCUGUUCGAAAUCUUCCCGCGCCUCUCCUCAUCUCCCCGGCUAGCUUAUGACUCAUUUUUCGUCUUGAUCUGACAGUUCAGAUUUAUAUGCUUCCAACUAAUAUGAGUUAGGUUGAGAUAAAAAAAUAUGCAUCAUAGUACUGUUGCUAAUUCCAAAUUACAGUUUUAUGCUUCUUCUGUUUAGAUAGUUGUUUCCAGCUAGACUUCUUCUUCUUUUGCAUUUUUGUUUUUGUUAUACUCAGCGCCUUUGAAAUGUAAAUAUUGUCCAUCUUCCAUCAGGUGCUCUUAUACCUACUUCUGUAAUAAUAUUUCCUCCCCUGCCAUGCUUCCUAAUUAUAAUACAUGUUCUUCUUUGGUCUAGAUAAUUUUACUCCAUUUAUGUUGUGUAUAGAUCAAACUGUCUCUUAUUUUCUGAUAUGUAAUUCCGUUGUACAGAUGUAUUGCGCCACACGAUGCUAAUCAUGCAUCGUUAGUUUCCUGACCGACCGCCUGAAGACAUCGCUUGUGCUUAACUCCACCACCAGCUCACUGACGAGCUCGUAGCCUCGGUGCUUAACUCCACCAGGAUCGGGUCCAGCUCUACCUGCAGUUUUGGCCUCUAAUCCACCUUGCUGGAAUGCUGUCUCGGUUUGGGAAUGAGGCCAGCAGGGAUAGGCUCUCACGCCAUGGUGCAGGGUGACUUACUAGGCGAUGUUGUAUCACAACAUCACAUACACAGGAAGCAUAGAAGAAGGUAGUAAGAUGCAGCAUGCCUUUCCACAAGGUCAUGGUGCGAGAGAUAAGGUCUUCGUACUCGCUUGUAGUUCAUGACACUGGCGUAGAUGGUGCGGUGCUUCACGAUCACCAUGGAAGCAAAUCCAAGAGCUAUGGAGAAGAACUCUGAUAUACGUGAAAAUAGUAUGAUGAUGAUUUAGAAGCAAAAUGUAUAUCUUUGGGAGUGGGGGUCUGCAUUGUGCCCAGGCGAUGCAAAACCUGAGCAUAUGCGUCUUUUUUGUUGUAUGGAAGCAAAUCCUCGUGUUUUUAGAUGCAAGUUC